GAUGAACGCUGGCGGCGUGCCUAAUACAUGCAAGUCGAGCGAACAGACGAGGAGCUUGCUCCUCUGACGUUAGCGGCGGACGGGUGAGUAACACGUGGAUAACCUACCUAUAAGACUGGGAUAACUUCGGGAAACCGCAGCCAAUACCGGAUAAUAUAUUGAACCGCAUGGUUCAAUAGUGAAAGACGGUUUUGCUGUCACUUAUAGCUGGAUCCGCGCCGCAUUAGCUAGUUGGUAAGGUAACGGCUUACCAAGGCAACGAUGCGUAGCCGACCUGAGAGGAUGAUCGGCCACACUGGAACUGAGACACGGCCCAGACUCCUACGGGAGGCAGCAGUAGGGAAUCUUCCGCAAUGGGCGAAAGCCUGACGGAGCAACGCCGCGUGAGUGAUGAAGGUCUUCGGAUCGUAAAACUCUGUUAUUAGGGAAGAACAAAUGUGUAAGUAACUAUGCACGUCUUGACGGUACCUAAUCAGAAAGCCACGGCUAACUACGUG
rnacentral:rRNA from 1 species